AACGGAAAGGCAGGUAGGGGGAGCCCUGGGAAACGCAGCGAUCCUUAGAGUCCCCGGCCUCUGCCAGGAGAGUCUGCCAGGUACUUCCCAGGGCCUGAUGUGGUGGUGAGGCACCAGUAGCAGAACUCAGACACACCCAGUCUGGGACUCGCGGGACCCGCACGCGCGGCCUUCGUUCCAUGCCCAGCGAUCCCAAGGGGUGGCCCCUGCUCUGCGGCUGAGCAGACCUACAGAGGAUAAAAUCAGCCAUUCUGAAAGGCAGGGAAAUCAAGAGAGGAUUUACCUCGCUGGAGUGCAGACGUCGCUUCGGGCUGCGCCAUUCCCUUGGUGAUCUUUAUGCGAAGCAAGCACAUAAAAACAUCCUGGCAAACCUGAACAGGCUGUUCACUCAUUGAUCUGCCAGGCUGGUGACGGGGAGGCGGGCAAACCCUCCGGAGUAUUCUGGAAAAAAGUAGUCCAUUAGUUCAGAGUGUGGGGUUGGUAGUGGGCGGGGGGCAGCCGCUUUGGCCCCCCAACCUGCAAGAGCUUGGAGCAGCUCUAACUCUGCAACUCCAGCGCUGUGACCCAGGUAGCUAAACGUUGAGUUGUGUAAGAGAUACUGCAGUGUUCCUCUUGACAGCGUUAAAUACAGGGCAAAACAUAUUUUCUCCGUGUUUUGGGUAGCCCAUCAAGUUUGGACUGUGGAGAGAUUUCCCGUGGUUUGUUAGCUUCGGGGAUGAAGUGUGCAUGGAGAGCUAAACUUUUUCCCUUUCUCUACAAACUGGCCCAGUGGUGCUUUCAGCCACAGGGCAGAGCCUGUGCCACCUGGGUCUCCUGCCAAGGAGCUUCCCCUCCCCAAGAGCCAGGGCAAGCCCGGUGGGCAUGGCAUUGGCCGGAAGGAGCAUGCCCAUGGUGGGCGGAGCCAUCACCGAAACAGUGAGGCCAAAGUGGGUGGGCAAGUCCAGAGGUGAGAGGGAGUGGGCUCUUCCUUACAGCCACAUUCCUGGCCAGGCCAGGCCAGGCCAGGCCAGGCCAGCAGGGCAAGGGGCAACCCUUCGAGUUGCUGCCAUUCUUUGGGAAGGAAGCCAAGGAAUGCUUUAAUGGGGGGGCAAGGAAGGACAGGGAUGGCGAAACUCGGAUCCAUUCCCAGUUGGAGGCCAAGCGUGAUGCAGGCCCAGUGGAGAUGCCCGGGGAGCAGAUUUCCCCAGUUAUCUGGGAACCGUUUGACCUGUUGCCCCUGAGGAAGUGGACAGGUCCUUGGGGCUGUUAG